GAUGAACGCUGGCGGCGUGCUUAACACAUGCAAGUCGAACGAUGAAGCCCAGCUUGCUGGGUGGAUUAGUGGCGAACGGGUGAGUAACACGUGAGUAACCUGCCCUUAACUCUGGGAUAAGCCUGGGAAACUGGGUCUAAUACCGGAUAGGAGCGUCCACCGCAUGGUGGGUGUUGGAAAGAUUUAUCGGUUUUGGAUGGACUCGCGGCCUAUCAGCUUGUUGGUGAGGUAAUGGCUCACCAAGGCGACGACGGGUAGCCGGCCUGAGAGGGUGACCGGCCACACUGGGACUGAGACACGGCCAAGACUCCUACGGGAGGCAGCAGUGGGGAAUAUUGCACAAUGGGCGCAAGCCUGAUGCAGCGACGCCGCGUGAGGGAUGACGGCCUUCGGGUUGUAAACCUCUUUCAGUAGGGAAGAAGCGAAAGUGACGGUACCUGCAGAAGAAGCACCGGCUAACUACGUG
rnacentral:rRNA from 1 species